UCCUUGGUGUCUCAGAUGGUAAAGAAUCUGCCUGCAAUGUGGGAGACCUGGGUUCGAUCCCUGGUUUGGGAA
rnacentral:tRNA from 1 species